UACGGAGGGGACUAGCGUUGUUCGGAAUUACUGGGCGUAAAGCGCACGUAGGCGGCUUUGUAAGUCAGGGGUGAAAUCCCGGGGCUCAACCUCGGAACUGCCUUUGAUACUGCAAAUCUCGAGUCCGGAAGAGGUGAGUGGAAUUCCUAGUGUAGAGGUGAAAUGCGUAGAUAUUAGGAAGAACACCAGUGGCGAAGGCGGCUCACUGGUCCGGUACUGACGCUGAGGUGCGAAAGCGUGGGGAGCAAACAGG
rnacentral:rRNA from 1 species